rnacentral:rRNA from 1 species
CCUACGGGAGGCAGCAGUGGGGGAUAUUGCACAAUGGGGGGAACCCUGAUGCAGCGACGCCGCGUGAGCGAAGAAGUACCUCGGUAUGUAAAGCUCUAUCAGCAGGGAAGAAAAUGACGGUACCUGACUAAGAAGCCCCGGCUAAAUACGUGCCAGCAGCCGCGGUAAUACGUAUGGGGCAAGCGUUAUCCGGAUUUACUGGGUGUAAAGGGAGCGCAGGCGGCCUGCCAAGUCUGGUGUGAAAACCCGGGGCUCAACCCCGGGCCUGCAUUGGAAACUGGCGGGCUGGAGUGUCGGAGGGGCAGGCGGAAUUCCUAGUGUAGCGGUGAAAUGCGUAGAUAUUAGGAGGAACACCGGUGGCGAAGGCGGCCUGCUGGACGAUGACUGACGCUGAGGCUCGAAAGCGUGGGGAGCAAACAGGAUUAGAUACCCGGGUAGUC